rnacentral:rRNA from 1 species
AAUCAACGCUGGCGGCGUGCUUAACACAUGCAAGUCGAGCGGUAAGGCCCUUUCGGGGGUACACGAGCGGCGAACGGGUGAGUAACACGUGGGUGACCUGCCCUCAGCUCUGGGAUAAGCCUGGGAAACCGGGUCUAAUACUGGAUAUGACUCCAUGACGCAUGUUGUGGGGUGGAAAGCCUUGUGCGGCUGAGGAUGGGCCCGCGGCCUAUCAGCUUGUUGGUGGGGUGAUGGCCUACCAAGGCGACGACGGGUAGCCGGCCUGAGAGGGCGACCGGCCACACUGGGACUGAGACACGGCCCAGACUCCUACGGGAGGCAGCAGUGGGGAAUCUUGCGCAGUGGGCGAAAGCCUGACGCAGCGACGCCGCGUGAGGGAUGACGGCCU